UAAUUAACUGGACGUUACCCACAGAAGAAGCACCGGCUAACUCCGUGCCAGCAGCCGCGGUAAUACGGAGGGUGCGAGCGUUAAUCGGAAUUACUGGGCGUAAAGGGUGCGUAGGUGGUUGAUUAAGUUAUCUGUGAAAUUCCUGGGCUUAACCUGGGACGGUCAGAUAAUACUGGUUGACUCGAGUAUGGGAGAGGGUAGUGGAAUUUCCGGUGUAGCGGUGAAAUGCGUAGAGAUCGGAAGGAACACCAGUGGCGAAGGCGGCUACCUGGCCUAAUACUGACACUGAGGCACGAAAGCGUGGGGAGCAAACAGGAUUAGAUACCCGG
rnacentral:rRNA from 1 species